GCCUGGGUGGCUCAGUUGGUUAGGCAGCUGACUUCUGCUCAGGUCUUGACCUCACAGUUCGUGAGUUCAAGCCCCACAUCAGGCU
rnacentral:tRNA from 1 species